rnacentral:lncRNA from 1 species
UAAUGAUGAUAAUUCAAUAAAUGGAAAUAAACUAAGAACCUACAGAAAAUUUAAAGUAAAGUAUGAACUAGAAAAGUACCUUUUAUUGAAUUUAGAUAAAAAUGUUACAAAAAAUUAUGCUAAAAUAAGAAUAAGUAAUAGUAUGCUGGCUGUUGGACGUGGUAGAUACAACAAAACAGCUUUAGAAAAUAGAAUAUGUCCUUUAUGCCAUAAAGAGGUGGAAGAUGAAUUUCAUUUUAUCAUAACAUGUUCAGAAAUUAAUAAAACUAGGAUCAAAAUGUUUGAUGAAAUAUCUAGUAUUGUCCCCUGUUUUAAUUCAAUGAGUGAAGAAAACAAAUUUGAUUUUAUAUUUUCCUGCGAAGAAUGUGAUAUUUUACUUAUCAUUGUUAACUACAUAAGUGAAAUGUAUAAUGAAAGAAACAAUUAUAAUGUCAAUAUAUGAACUGUGUAAUUGAUGGCUCAACUUAUAAUGUUAUAUAUAUUAUAACAUAUUUUUUUAUAACAUAAGCAUAAUAUUUUAAUUGAUAAUUUUAAAGAGGAGGCAUGCU